UACGUAGGGUCCGAGCGUUGUCCGGAAUUAUUGGGCGUAAAGAGCUCGUAGGCGGUUUGUCGCGUCUGCUGUGAAAACUGGAGGCUCAACCUCCAGCCUGCAGUGGGUACGGGCAGACUAGAGUGCGGUAGGGGAGAUUGGAAUUCCUGGUGUAGCGGUGGAAUGCGCAGAUAUCAGGAGGAACACCGGGUGGCGAAGGCGGUUCUCUGGGCCUUACCUGACGCUGAGGAGCGAAAGCGUGGGGAGCGAACAGG
rnacentral:rRNA from 1 species